GCGACUGUAGCUCAGCGGUAGAGCCAUGGCGCGCCGGUUCAAUCCCGGCCAGUCGCACGA
rnacentral:tRNA from 1 species